AUGAAGAUACCUCUAAAGAAUAAAAUAUUUGCAUGGUAUCUUCGUCGCAGAGUCAUUCUUACUAAAGAUAACCUUAUUAACAGAAAUUGGCAUGGAAGCCCGCAAUGUGUCUUUUGUCACCAUGAUGAGACAAUAAAACAUUUAUUCUUCCAAUGCAAGUUGGCUCGUUCUAUAUGGUCAGUCAUCCAGAUAGCUUCUGGCUUGUAUCCUCCUUGUAGUGUUGCUAAUGUAUUUGGCAACUGGUUACAUGGGAUAGAUUACAGGUUUAGAACUAUUCUUAGGGUCGGAGCGCUUGCCGUUAUUUGGUCGCUUUGGCUAUGUAGAAAUCAUAAGGUGUUUAACGAUAAAAGUACUUCUCUGAUGCAGGUUAUCUACAAGUGUACCGGGACUCUUCAUUUAUGGUCAUCUCUACAACGUGUGAAGAAUCGAGGCCUGUUUACGGAGGUGUGUACACGAUUGGAGGAUACGGCGAGGGAUACUUUUACCCAACAUGUGUGGCAGCAUGAUCUUAGGAUUGGCCCACCUCCGCUUUAG
rnacentral:rRNA from 1 species